GAUGAAGAACGUAGCGAAAUGCGAUAAGUGAUGUGAAUUGCAGAAUUCAGUGAAUCAUCGAAUCUUUGAACGCACAUUGCGCCCGGUAGUAUUCUGCCGGGCAUGCCUGUUCGAGCGUCAUUUCAACCAUCAAGCCCCAGCGCUUGUGUUGGGGGCCUGCGGCUGCCGCAGCCCCCUAAAAGCAGUGGCGGGCUCGCUAUCACACCGAGUGCAGUAGUUCAUCUUCUCUCCGGUCUUGUGAGGCGGGUUCCGGCCGUGAAACACCCCACUACAUUCAAGGUUGACCUCGGAUCAGGUAGGAAUACCCGCUGAACUUAAGCAUAUCAAUAAGCGGAGGA
rnacentral:misc_RNA from 1 species